rnacentral:pre_miRNA from 13 species
CCUGAGACGGGAACCGAGCUGGUUUCUCCUCUGGUGAUAAAUCCAGCAGUGCUUAUCACCGGGAGUAAAUCUGCUCGGGUCCCGUCUCGGGAU